AUUGAACGCUGGCGGCAUGCCUUACACAUGCAAGUCGAACGGCAGCACGGGAGCAAUCCUGGUGGCGAGUGGCGAACGGGUGAGUAAAGUAUCGGAACGUGCCCAGUCGUGGGGGAUAACGUAGCGAAAGUUGCGCUAAUACCGCAUACGAUCUAUGGAUGAAAGCGGGGGAUCGCAAGACCUCGCGCGAUUGGAGCGGCCGAUAGAAGAUUAGGUAGUUGGUGGGGUAAAGGCACACCAAGGCGACGAUCUGUAGCUGGUCUGAGAGGACGGCCAGCCACACUGGGACGGAGACACGGGCCAGACUCCUACGGGAGGCAGCAGUGGGGAAUUUUGGACAAUGGGCGAAAGCCUGGUCCAGCCAUGCCGCGUGCAGGAUGGAGGCCUUCGGGUUGUAAACUGCUUUUGUACGGAACGAAAAGGUUUGGGCUGAUAAGCUGAGCUCAUGACGGUACCGUAAGAAUAAGCACCGGCUAACUACGUGCCAGCCGCCGCAGUAA
rnacentral:rRNA from 1 species